rnacentral:lncRNA from 1 species
ACUCUAAGACCCGCUCUUGGUAAAGUUUACGUGAACUGAGAUCCUCUUCACGUUGAGCCAUCUUCCCUGAGCCUUUUCCAAUGCCAGAAGAAUUCAGAUUCCAUAGGAAGCAGGGAAGACUGCUCUCAGGAGAAGUGUAAGAACGCAAUCAACCAUAGCACUGUGGGAUAGCAGCCAGGAGGCUGGCUGUAUCCUGCUGCAGCAGCCACCACACAUGGAGGGCGGAGGGACAGCCACCCUGUUGUGUAGCUCGGAGCAGCUGUGUCCUUCAGUGCAGGUCCAGCCAAGAGCCGUGGGCCACAGAUGACGCUGGUGGGGAAGCAGAGGGCAGACUAGGCAGAGGCAAGGCUUUCCUGUGCCCUGAGCUGUCAGAGAUGGGCCAGGGCCUUCAGCUUCCUCGAUAGGGCAGAAGUGACCACGCUGGCUCCAUUCAGCAAAGGACGUGGACGGAGCUGCCGGGCUUGUCUGAGAGGAGGAGAAAUGUGGAAUUGAGUGAGGCUCUCUAAGAAGGUUCUGCUGGAGUUGAGAAAAAUUAGGGUGAGGCACCUCCCCGAUUUUAUGUCCUUUUUCCUGGGUCCAGCCUCCUGAACAGCUACCAUUCGCUUCUGUGAGACACCUGUCGGUGCCUCCUUUUCCAGCCCUUAAUGGAACGUUCCUCUCCCAGCCACCUCAGACUUCCCAUACCACCCUCCCUGGACAGGAAGCGUUUUUACAGGAGUUUGAAGCUUCAGGAGUGCCCUCCGGCCACAUGAAGACAAGGCGCUAACAAACAUGGCGUUCUGCAAAUUGCACCAUCGCCAACUCCUGUCUUACUCUCACAGAGGUCUCUUGGGCUCUUCUGAGAAGGGUGAAUGAACUUGGUUGGAGGGAAGAGAGGGGUUUGGUGGCUCUUAGUAAAAUUGCUUCACGCAGUGACCUUUGGCAGUUUAGGAUAAUAACCUGUGCAGAGAGAGGGUCUCCUGUCCUGAAGUCACAGCCCGGAUCUCCAGGCUGGCUCUGCUGCCUCUGAAUGAUUUGUGGGUCACACACGCCAACAGCAUCGCCAAGGGCUGACAUCAGCCUGCUUGAGCCACGGAAACUGAAUGGGCAAGGAUGAGUUCCCCAGCACAGAGGGAGGCAUCCUCUGUCAAGACCAUCUGCGCAUGUGCUGUGCAGUCUCCAGUCUGCACUGUGAGCAGUGUGUCUCAACGGCUUUUGAGAACUGCUUCGAGAGGGGACCAGAUGCGCAGAGACAAGCUUCCAGCCUGGCUAGGGACGGACCCUCUGGGGAUGCUCCUCUCUGGCCGGGCAGCAGUAGAAGCACCUGCCUCCAUCCACAUCCAGACGCCAUUCCCUUUUCUUCACCGCUGCUUCCCAUCAGAUGGUCCCCAGGAGUGGCAACCUCCCACUUGGUCUCGCAGGAGUCCCAGUGCUUCUCAGGUCCACUCCUUCAUCACACCUGGGACUACUCUCAUAUUUGUUCCCUCCUAUCCUGAGUCCUAGUGGGUUUUCAUUUGCACUCCAGGGUUCAGCUGCAGACCCACCAGGUGAAGACCCACCAGCACACCUUGCCCUGCUUCUGGGCCACGUCUCUCCAGUGCACCUGCAGGAGACCUCUGUGGAUGCACCGUGUCUCCUAACACUGUCUCCAGCCCACACUGAGCUUGUCUUGCGUGGAAAUCUUUGUCUCUGCUGUUGCCUUUGCCUGGAGCGUCCUUGCCCCACACCCUCUCACAGCUGCCUCUCUGUCAUCUUUCCAAUGUCUGUCCUCAGAGAGCCCUUCCUGGCCACUCCAUCUAAAGGAGUCCUGGGCCAGGUGUGGUGGCCCACACCUGUAAUCUCAGAACUUUGGGAGACGGAGGUGGGAAGAUCACUUGAGGCCAGGGGUUCAAGACCAACCUGGGCAACAUACUGAAACCCCCAUGCCUAUAACAAUAAAAAAGGAAAAAAAGGGGUGGUGGUGCACACUUAGAAUCUCAGCUAUUCUGGUGGCUAAGGCUUGAGCCUAGGAGUUCGAGGCUGCAGUGAGCCAAGAUCGCACCACUGCGCUCCAGCAUGGGCAACAGAGUGAGACCCUGUAUCAAAAAAUAAAUAAAAAUAGGUCAGGUGCAGUGGCUCACUCAUGACUGUAAUCCCAGCACUUUGGGAGGCUGAGGCGGGCAGAUCACCUGAGGUCAGGAGUUCAAGACCAGCUUGGCCAACAUGGUGAAACCCCAUCUCUACAAAAAUACGCAUAGUCGGGCAUGGUGGCGGGUGCUUAGAGUCCCAGCUACUUGGGAGACUGAGGCAGGAGAAUCACUUGAACCUGGGAGGUGGAGGUUGCAGUGAGCCGAGAUCGCACCAUUGCACUCUAGCCUGGGCGACAGAGUGAGACUGUGUCUCAAAAAUAAAUAAAUAAAUAAAUAAAUAAAUAAAUAAAUAAAUAAAUAUAAAAAAGGAAUUCCCCUCUUCUUAUUACACUAAUCAAUUUGUUUUCUUCACGGUGCUUUACCAGAAUCUGAAAUUGUUCUAUUUAUUCAUCUUUUGUCAACAAUUCCUGGUAAGAGGUGCUACUCAGGUCACAGAAUUGGUUUUAGGUUGCUCUAGUAAAAACUUUUUGCUGUCUUUAGCAAAAAGAGCUGUGCACAUAGACAUACUUUCAGGUUAAACCAAUAUGUAUGUUUUUAAUUUGCUACCCCUUGCCACCUCUUGGCCUAGAAACAGGGAGGAGGAAGCCACGCUUUCAUUAUUAUUAACUAUCUCGGGCCUUUUAUUAGUUUGAUCAAGUAAUAAUCAUCUAAAGUGCAUCUCCUUUGUGGGGAG